GUCACUUUGCCGGAGUGGUUAACGGGAUCGCCUGCUACCUAUACAAGGUGCUAUCGUGAGCGGUUGGGCUUUGCCCGCGAGUGUUCGAAUCGCUCAGGUGACG